ensembl:lncRNA
GUGAGAAAAAGCCUGAGGCAGGCUGAAGCAGGGAAGAAGAAGAAGAAGACGGGUAGAUGAAAUUACACCUGCGGGUCUGUUAGCUUUAGCAGCCGGAGUAUAGCGGGUUUGUCCCACAACACACCCCAAGGGUCCGUAAGAAAUAAAGACCCCGUGAUUCAUUUCCUCCGGCCUGAAAGACGGGAAAUGAAUAGAAAGCUUGGAUAUUGUCAGUCGCUAAAUGGGAAAGCAGUUGCUCGGGAGGCACAAUGCAGAUGGAGGUAAGAAUGAAGGAGAUGAAGCCACGUCCUUCGUCCCCUCCCUGAUGCCUCGGCCUGGUUCCACUCCUGGAGCAGCUGGACACUCUCAGGUGUCGUUUGCUAGCAGAGGAGCCGAACGGCGCUGGAAACAGGCGGUGCUUCUUCGCCUACAGCAAGCUCA